rnacentral:rRNA from 1 species
AACAAACGCUGGCGGCGUGCCUAACACAUGCAAGUCGUACGAGAAAGUUGGCUUCGGCCAAUAAGUAAAGUGGCGCACGGGUGAGUAACGCGUGGAUAAUCUACCCUUUAGCUAGGAAUAACUCACCGCAAGGUGGGCUAAUGCCUAAUAAUACUGCUUCUACUCCGGUAGAACAGUCAAAGAUAGCCUCUGUAUACAAGCCUUCACUAAAGAAUGAGUCCGCGUACCAUUAGCUAGUUGGUAGGGUAAUGGCCUACCAAGGCUACGAUGGUUAGCUGGUCUGAGAGGAUGAUCAGCCACACUGGAACUGAGAUACGGUCCAGACUCCUACGGGAGGCAGCAGUGAGGAAUCUUGCGCAAUGGGGGAAACCCUGACGCAGCAACGCCGCGUGUAUGAAGAAGGCCUUCGGGUUGUAAAGUACUUUCAGCGGGGAGGAAGGCGGUGAAGUUAAUAGCUUCACCGAUUGACGUUACCCGCAGAAGAAGCACCGGCUAACUCCGUGCCAGCAGCCGCAGUAA